UCUCCUAAACAACACAGAGCUUUAUUUUUUUUCAUCAGCUCCACAGUAAGAGCAAGUAAUCAAUUUGCACGACCCAAAUCAUUUCCAAGUACAACUUCAUGCCCACCAUUCAUUCUCUCGGUUGUUAAAAGCUUCUUUGCAGCCAUCCCAAAUUUUAAAAGAUGAUUUAUCUCCAGAUUUACAAGUAAAAAUAUUUGCUUUAUAAGAUUUUUUUUAACCUGCCCUUCACCAUAAGGUCCCAGGGUGGGUUGCAACAACAGAAUAUACAAUUAUAAAAACAGCAUAUAACCAUUACAAAAAUGGAACAGAGCAAUAUGGAUAGGAGCUAGUAAGUUGCUGUUAAACAACACUAUGAUGCCUUUAAAAAAAUUAUAUUUUUUUCUAAGGAACAGAUGGAUUGCAUUUCCUCUGCUGGGUGAUCCCUGAGCUAGGUGCAAGGGCCCUCAGCUAGGUGCAAGAGGAUCCCAGGUGCCUGCAGCCUCAACGAACAACUGACAGAAUACUGAGCUGGAUGUCCCACUGGGACGGUUCAGCAUAAAGUUGUUUCAUGCAAACGUGCAUUCUGGCCAAUGUAGGCUUUACAUUUGCACUGGUAAAAUGGCAAAAUGUAGCCCAGGCAUUAAUUGCACGACUUUGGAAAGAUCUGAAAGGUACUUCUGUUUUGUUGUGGUAUAGUAAAGUUUGGCAACUUGUACAAAUAGAGAAGUUAACAUGGAAGCUGAAGAUUGCAAAAGGACAAAAAUGUAAAAAUACAUUUGUUGCAGAGAGAUGGAGCUUUAUUACUCCCAAAGCUUUUCAAAACCUGUGGAUUUCAUAAAAGUAACCAAAUAAUAAUAACAGUUUAUUUAUUUGUAUGUUUAAGGGCAGGAAAAACUAUUUUAUAUGUGAAGUACCCCCCAUAACUCCCAGUAAAUGUAUGUUUUGAAUUGUU